rnacentral:rRNA from 1 species
GUGCCAGCAGCCGCGGUAAUACAGAGGGUGCAAGCGUUAAUCGGAAUUACUGGGCGUAAAGCGCGCGUAGGUGGUUCGUUAAGUUGGAUGUGAAAUCCCCGGGCUCAACCUGGGAACUGCAUUCAAAACUGACGAGCUAGAGUAUGGUAGAGGGUGGUGGAAUUUCCUGUGUAGCGGUGAAAUGCGUAGAUAUAGGAAGGAACACCAGUGGCGAAGGCGACCACCUGGACUGAUACUGACACUGAGGUGCGAAAGCGUGGGGAGCAAACAGGAUUAGAUACC